CUGCGGUUCUGAGCGCGCCGUCCGCGCCCACCUGACAGCUACUCGCGACGUUUUGUUAG
rnacentral:sRNA from 1 species